rnacentral:lncRNA from 1 species
UUUCUUCUGCUGAAAAGGCUAGGUUUCAAAUUUAAGAAAAACUUUCCUCCCUGGUUUUCUCAAAAGCUGAAAAGAUGAUUUGAAGUAGAAGGUUCUCUCCUAGUUUUCUUUGCUUAAAAUCUCUGGGUUUCUCAGGCUGAACUUGGGUGUGAUUUGGUUGUGGUUUGCUAUUUGCUGCUGCUCAUUAUCUUGGGUGAAAGCUCAACUAUUAUAGUGACCUUUAUUUGGUCUUUCUUUGAAUUAUCUAUAGGCAUGGACCCACUCUAACUAUGAGAAUGAACUUUUUUUGUGAGAAUCUGAAGUUAUUCAUGACUGUGUGUGUAUGGUUGUAUGCUUCAACAAUAGAACUUCAUGUGUUUACAUUGUUCUUCAUUAGUUGUUUAUAUGUCUUUAUAUGCAUUUCAGUAUGUAGGAAAAUGUUGUUGAAAUAACACAAAUAGUUGUUUCUCAUAACGACAUUUAGGUUCAGUUUUGUUUAUGAUGCUUCCC